GGCCGAAGGGGCCGGCGGGGCCCAAUGGGAGGCGGGCGCCGCGCGGCUGCGCACUGAGCGCCCGGGAGGCGGAGCGGUGCCGCGGGCGGAGGGCGGCCGCCAUGGAGCAGGGCUACGGCGGUUAUGGCACCUGGAGUACGGGGGCCAGCAACACCCAAGGUACCUACGCGACGAACGCGACAAGUUGGCAAGGCAUGGCGGCCAAGGAGAAUUAUGAGGGAUCUUCCUGGCAGACUUGGCAGUCGCAUUACGAGAGCCCUAGGACUGACAUAGCCAAGGGGGCGCCAGGCUACGAAGGCUAUGACUACUACAACACCCAAACCACUGCCGCCAACACGGCAGCCACGUACAACUACGCCGCUGCUGCUACCUCCAGCACUUGGGAAACUCCCAAAACCUCGGAGAUGAGCAUGAACGCUGAUGUCGGCUCUGCCAUGCCUGUCGCUUCAUACAGCAGCGAGAGCGUGGCGAACGAGAACUCGGAUUCCAUCAUAGCCAAAAUAAACCAGCGCUUGGAUAUGCUGUCAAAGGAGGGCAGCGGCGGCACGGGGGAAGGAAUGGAAGACCAGGAGAGCUCCUUCAGAUUCGAGUCUUUUGAAUCGUACGACUCGAGGUCCUCCAUGAACGACCGCGACAUGUACCGGUCCGGCUACGACUACGGCGAGGUCGGCACCGAUCGCAGCGAUUCCUUCGGGAGCCAGUUCGACGGCCGCAGGGAUCAGUCUCGCAACCGGGGCAACAACUACGGCCUCAUCCGAGGACGGAGCCAAAACCGCGUGCAGAACCGGGGGCGCCUCAACACUUUCAACCGCUCUGACCACUUCAUGCCCUCCUCGAGCUCGGAGCGCCUCUCCGCUCGCUGGAAUGAGUUGAACUACAUGGGUGGGCGUGGGAUGGGGGGUGCCGGCCCCAACAGGCUCCCCUCUCUCUUCUCCCAAGCCCUGGUCCCUGACUAUGGGGACUACGGGGACUAUGGAGAUUAUGGAGAUUACGGUGACUACGGGGAUUAUGGGGAUUACGGUGACUACGGAGACUACGGGGACUAUGGAGACUAUGACUAUGGCAUGAUGGGGAUGUCGGGCAUGGGAAUGGGACGGUACGGUAACGUGCCCUACGGAAUGGGGCGGCAGCGAAACAGAGACAGGAUGGGUGCGGUGCCCUGGCACAUGAACACGCUCACGCCCAAGAGGAGAGGUUUCCGAAACCGGUCAGGAGGGCGAUCGGACAGCGAAGGAGGACGCAAGCGGAAACAGUCUCAAAGUGGAGACGAGCCAGACAGCAAACAGGCAAAGACUGACAGCGAGGGUGAUGACACCGAGAACGCAGAUGAGGGCGAAGGAGAGGAAAAAUCAGGAGAUGAAGCUGACAAAGGUGAGAAUGGGAGUUGUGCUGACUUCGCAGAGGAAGCAUCUGGAGAUGGCUGCGAAGAUGAUGAUGAAGAGGUGAAAAAGAAGAGGGAGAAGCAGCGGCGAAGAGAUAGGAUGCGUGACCGUGCCAUGGACAGGAUCCAGUUCGCCUGUUCUGUGUGCAAGUUCCGCAGUUUUGAGGAAGAGGAGAUCCAAAAACACCUACAGAGCAAGUUCCACAAAGAGACCUUGCGGUACAUUGGCACCAAGCUCCCAGACAAAACAGUUGAGUUCCUGCAGGAAUACAUCGUCAAUAGGAAUAAAAAAAUUGAGAAGCGUCGCCAGGAGCUGACUGAGAAAGAGGGCACGAAGCAGAAGCCAGAUCCUUUUAAGGGUAUUGGCCAGGAACACUUCUUCAAGAAGAUCGAGGCGGCUCACUGCAUGGCCUGCGACAUGUUAAUUCCUGCACAGAACCACCUCCUCCAGAGGCACCUGCGAUCUGCGGAUCACAACCGAAACCGCAGGAUGGCUGCGGAACAGUUCAAGAAGACCAGCUUGCACGUCGCCAAGAGCGUCCUGAAUAACAAACACAUCGUCAAGAUGCUGGAGAAGUACCUCAAGGGUCCGCAGGCACGUCAACAACUCCUCAUGAUCAACGGUAUCAAAGGCUGCCGGCAGAUCUAAAUGAAUCAGCACGGGCGCCUGACCUUUGUCCAUCGGCAGGAGGAGAUCUUCGACCCAUCCCAGCACGGUCUCCGUACCAUACCCAGGUGCAAAACCAGACUGAAAGGGGUGGAGGAAAUCUGAGGAUUCCAGGUAAUGCCCGAGCUGCCUCGCCAAAACAUUCUCGGCAACCUUCCCCGAGAAAGGAAGGCCGGAGACAGGGCGAUAAUUGACACAAGACUCUCAGCAUCAAGAGCUGGUUUCUUGAACGCGGGCCUAACGAUUCCUCCUCUGAGGGAUGCUGGGCGCCUCACCCUUCCCAAGGGAGGCCGUGACAGUCUCCACCACUAGUGGACUUCAUAUCCCCCCGUAGCUUUUACCGGCGAUAACGGACUUGGGUCCAGAUCGCAAGGUAUAGCCUGAAGUUUUCCCCCCCCAUGUCCUCCAGAACCUCGGUAGGUGAGACCAGCUGGCUGAACCUCAGCCAGGGAAGAUUUACCGUUGCGUUUGUCCUCCACCUGCAUGGAUCUGCUCGUGUGGAGGCAGCCAAUCUGGUCUGAACCUCUGAUCGAUCCGGUCCGUGAGGCAGAGAACCCGAGAGGCGCUGGGACGUAGCGAGCGGGGACAGGCCUGGCUUUACCAGGCCGGCCUCUACCGGCGUGCCUCCGCUUUUCGGGAUGUCGCAGGCGCUGUGCUGGAGCCGGAGAGGUUGCUCUCCCAGCUUCCACCACAGCCACGGCGGGGGGAGUUGAGCAAACUCUUCGUCCCGGUCGAUCAGAUUUCAGGCGAGGUUUCUGCCGCUGGCAUGCUGCCCGCCUCCCUUCACAUUUCGUCUGUUGCAGGCCAGUCCUCCGCAUACCUUGGUGACCUGUGAGGAAGGGAGAGGGAGUUUAGAAGCACGGUUUGUCCCGGAUUGUGGCACAGUGUGGCCCUACUCUCCGGCAGGGCCAGCGCUAGGGCACAGCACCCACUGACCGUACAGUGCUCACCCACACCUAACCCCGAAACACAAGCAGAGAACCAAACAAAAUGGUCCCUGCCCCGGUGGGAGCAGUGCUAGGAUCUGAUGUCGGCCUGAAUAAAGGGUGAAGAUCCGUUCACAGACGAAAUCACCGACCAGGAUGUGGACGAAGGAGAAGCCUUGGAAGGCGGAGAUGGCGGUGGGGAAGGAGCAAAC